rnacentral:rRNA from 1 species
AAUUCGAUUGAGUUUGAUCCUGGCUCAGGACGAACGCUGGCGGCGCACCUAAGACAUGCAAGUCGAACGAUUCUUUGCUCUGUGGAGGGAAGGAUAGUGGCGGACGGGUGAGUAACACGUGGGGGACCUAUCUCUGGGUGGGGGAUACCGCCGGGAAACCGGCGCUAAGACCGCAUACGCCCUGUGUGCUAGUGCACGGAGGGGAAAUGCUCGUUCGAGAGAGGGAGCAGCCGAGAGCCGGCCCCGUGGCGGAUUAGCCAGUUGGCGGGGUAACGGCCCACCAAAGCGACGAUCCGUAGCUGGUCUGAGAGGAUGAUCAGCCACACCGGGACUGAGACACGGCCCGGACUCCUACGGGAGGCAGCAGUUAGGGAAUUUUCACAAUGGGCGCAAGCCUGAUGGAGUGACGCCGCGUGCGGGAGGACGGCCUUCGGGUCGUAAACCGCUUUUGGGGGGGACGAGAUGGACGGUACCCUCCGAAUAAGCCCCGGCUAACUACGUGCCAGCAGCCGCGGUAAUACGUAGGGGGCGAGCGUUGUCCGGAAUCACUGGGCGUAAAGAGCGCGUAGGCGGCCUGUUGCAUCCCUAGUGAAAGCGCCCGGCUCAACCGGGCGAGGUCUGGGGCGAUGGGGAGGCUGGAAGGUAGUAGAGGCAGAGGGAAGUCCCGAAGUAGUGG